rnacentral:rRNA from 1 species
CUGAUCUCUCAGUCCAAAAGCUAAGAUACUUACACCAGACGAGAAGACCCUGUGGAGCUUCCAAACCAAUACCAAUACCCAUGGUUAUACGGUUUUUAGUUGGGGCGACUUCGGAGAACAAAAAAACCUCCAACUAGGAAAUCCUCCUAAUUAAGAUUUACACAUCUAAAUAUUUACUUGACCCAGUAGGCAUUUCCCCAUCUGAUCAAGGAACCAAGUUACCCCAGGGAUAACAGCGCCAUCCUCUUUCAGAGUCCCCAUCGACAAGAGGGUUUACGACCUCGAUGUUGGAUCAGGACAUCCCAAUAGUGCAACCGCUAUUAAAGGUUCGUUUGUUCAACGAUUAAAGUCCUAC